AAAAUAAUCCUACCCUUUGUGAAUUUGUUUGUUUGAAUAAUUUUUUUUUUAAAAAAUUAUUGGAGUCUUUCCCUUUAGAGUUUGCUUUUGAGUUUGUAAAAGAAUUCGAAAACAUCUAAAGGGGAUGGUCAAUUAUUUUUUUUGAAAAAGACAUUUUUUAAAAUUAAACUUUUUGUAUUCAUUUGUCUAAAAAUUAUUUUUAUAAUAUAAAAACAACUUUUGACAAUGGAUCUCUUGGUUCUCGCAACGAUGAAGAACGCAGCAAAAUGCGAUAAGUAGUGUGAAUUGCAGAAUACGUGAAUCAUCGAAUCUUUGAACGCAUAUUGCACUUUUUUAGUUUACUAAAAAAGUAUGUCUGUUUGAGUAUCAGUAAAAUAUUCUCAUAAAAAUCAUUGUGUAUUUUUAUGGUUAUGAGUGUUUUACAACGAUACAAGUUGUUUCACUUUAAAUUUUUUUUUAAUAUUGAAAUUUUUCUAAUUUUAAUAAUUAAAAUUGGAUAAAAUUUUCCCGUCAAAAGGAAUAACCUAAACAAUUUUAAACGAUUAAUUUUAGCAAAAUUUUCGAAAAAAGGAAAAUUUUUAUUAAAAUAACUUGAUCUCAAAUCAGAUAAGAGUACCCGCUGAACUUAAGCAUAUCAAUAAGCGGAGGAAAAGAAACUAACAAGGAUUCCUUAGUAACGGCGAGUGAAGCGGGAAGAGCUCAAAUUUUAAAUCUUCAAGGUUUUACCUUGACGAAUUGUAGUUUAAAGAAGUGUUUUCUGCUGAAGUUUUGGUAAAAGUUCUUUGGAAUAGGACAUCAUAGAGGGUGAGAAUCCCGUAUUUGACCAUUAUUUUCAGCUUUGUGAUACACUUUCAAAGAGUCGGAUUGUUUGGGAAUGCAGUCCAAAAUGGGUGGUAAAUUUCAUCUAAAGCUAAAUAUUGGCGAGAGACCGAUAGCGAACAAGUACCGUGAGGGAAAGAUGAAAAGAACUUUGAAAAGAGAGUUAAACAGUACGUGAAUUGUCAAAAGGGAAGCGUUUGACACCAGUGUUGUUUCUCGAAAAUCAAUUAAAAAUGGCUCGAUUUUGUAUUGCUGAGACCUUAAAAGCUCACUGUACAUUUUUCGUGUCUUUUUUAAUGCACUUUUCGUUUAACAAGUCAACAUCAGUUUCUUUUGUUGUAAAAGGGUCAUUGGAAGGUGGCUUUCUUUUCGGAGAAAGUGUUUAUAGCCUUUGGCCUCUGCAAUCGAAGAGACUGAGGUCUGCAGCGUAGACUCUUCGGGGUUAGAUACAUUUGUGCUAAGUUAUAGCUUUUUAUAGACAACUUGUUGACUAUAAUUAGUCUUGUAGCUUACUCGCUUAUGCUAUUUUACCUACGCUUAGGAUG
rnacentral:misc_RNA from 1 species